CAAGAAAAUCCUUGGACUUUCUGCCCACGCUGUAAAGAAAGAAGGUUCCACAGCCAAGCAGGCCACAAUCUGAGGCUUGUAGUCUGUGGCAAGUCAUGAGAUGCUGAGUGAGUUUUUUACAUUUCUGGAUCAUAUCUUCACUAUCUUUGAAAUGAAUCACCUAGACCUACUGGGAGUCAGUUUGAUGUGCCUCUACUCCGUUACUACUACCACCACCACCACCACCACCAUCAUCAUCAUCAUCAUCAUCAUCAUCAUCAUCAUCAUCAUCAUCAUCAUCAUCAUCCAGGACCAUCUUAGCAUAGCCCGUGGAAUCCUGGGAGCUGGAGGAAUCCUCUCUGGUAUCUGACUCAGAUUUGAAAACCAGCUGGCUCACCUGCGGGCGGGCCCCAUCCAGACAGGUCCAAACUCAACCUGUUCCUUCAGAGUAAGACCAACAAACCUUACAGACGAGCACGACUGGGUUUAAUCUGUGACAAAGUACAACACUGGAUAGGUUGGAACAUAAAGUUAACCCGGUAUGAAAAACAAGAUCACCACCCGCAAUAUACUGCAACGCAAUACAUUUUGACAUUCUUUUUCUUCCUUUUAAAAGACCUGUGCAGCAUGGCUCUCAAGCAUUAAUGACAGGAGUGCACAGGAUUCAGCUGCUCCUGAAUG